rnacentral:rRNA from 1 species
UGGGGAAUAUUGGACAAUGGGCGCAAGCCUGAUCCAGCCAUGCCGCGUGAGUGAUGAAGGCCUUAGGGUUGUAAAGCUCUUUCGCCGACGAAGAUAAUGACGGUAGUCGGAGAAGAAGCCCCGGCUAACUUCGUGCCAGCAGCCGCGGUAAUACGAAGGGGGCUAGCGUUGUUCGGAAUCACUGGGCGUAAAGCGCACGUAGGCGGAUUGUUAAGUCAGGGGUGAAAGCCUGGAGCUCAACUCCAGAACUGCCCAUGAUACUGGCAAUCUCGAGUCCGGAAGAGGUAAGUGGAACUGCGAGUGUAGAGGUGAAAUUCGUAGAUAUUCGCAAGAACACCAGUGGCGAAGGCGGCUUACUGGUCCGGUACUGACGCUGAGGUGCGAAAAGCGUGGGGAGCAAAACAGGAUUAGAUACCCUGGUAGUCCACGCCGUAAAACGAUGGAGGCUAGCCGUUGGCGAGCAUGCUCGUCAGUGGCGCAGCUAACGCAUUAAGCCUCCCGCCUGGGGAGUACGGUCGCAAGAUUAAAAACUC